AGAGGCUUAGGAUAGUACUUAGACCAAGGGCCUUCAAAGCCCUCAGCGGGAGUGAAAACCUCCCAGCCCCUG
rnacentral:tRNA from 1 species